AUGCUCGCUUUGACAGCUCAUACACUAAAAAUGGAACCAUAUAGGGAAGACUAUCAUGGCUUGUGCACAGCGAUGACAGGCAAAUUUGUGAAGCAUUCCAUAUUUUU
rfam:Chlorocebus sabaeus isolate 1994-021 chromosome 20, whole genome shotgun sequence.